ACCAAGAAUUGCAUAACGUGAUAGGUGCACGCCAUCUCGUGCAGCUCUUAGUUUAAGACUUCUAGUUUGUACAUCUUGUUCACAAGAAUCAUUUCAGAAACAUGAACUUCCAUAUUCUGAAAAUCAUGCUUGAAAGCACGAUUAACAAUUUUGCAUCCAAACACAUACGGUUCAGAAAAAUUAAAAAAACCAAACUUCCACAUUGACCAAUGUGUACUAACAAAAUCCUUUACUUCUUUUACAAGAUCCUUUUCA